rnacentral:rRNA from 2 species
UACGUAGGGUGCGAGCGUUAAUCGGAAUUACUGGGCGUAAAGCGUGCGCAGGCGGUUCGUUGUGUCCGAUGUGAAAGCCCCGGGCUUAACCUGGGAAUGGCAUUGGAAACUGGCGAGCUUGAGUGCGGCAGAGGGGGGUGGAAUUCCGCGUGUAGCAGUGAAAUGCGUAGAGAUGCGGAGGAACACCGAUGGCGAAGGCAGCCCCCUGGGUCGACACUGACGCUCAGGCACGAAAGCGUGGGGAGCAAACAGG